UUUGAAGAUUUGAAAUCGCUUUGCCUUCUCAGCAUUAUCUUUGUAUGAACGCCCAUAGCGAACCAUCCACUCCUCAUGAUGGAAGUAUAAGGAAGUUUCUUC